rnacentral:lncRNA from 10 species
CAGGGUGAGCCUGCUUCUAACAACUCCCUCAAAAGGCUCUGUAACCCGUCCAAAAGAUGAUGUCAAGUGCUACAAGGACCCAGGUCAGCCCUCUGUCAGGGGGAAUUGGACAUGCCCAACACAAUUCAUUUCCAUUUCUCUACAACAUUACAAGCUUCCUUGGCAGCAAAAUCACAUAUUCUUAUCACAAAAAUAAAUGAGAGAAAAGAAGACAUACAUUUCUGUCAAGUUAUGUCAAGACAUAUUUGGUAUGUAUUUCACUUCACUAUCACUGACAGCAAAGAUGUCACGUAUUCUUAAUACAAAGUAAAGAAGUAUUUUCCUUUUUUUCCCCUGCAAGGCAUCAAUUUCAU